UCUAAAAAUAGUCUGAGAUCAAUCAAAAGUUGUGGUGAGAAACAUGGAUGUUGAAAUGAUGGAAACAUGAGUUUGACAGACUAUUCUGCCCCUCACUAGCUCUUUAACUGAAACUUUGAUUUUAAGUGAAGAAAUUCCAUACGCAACAUGGUAUCUCAACAUAACUUCGUAUUCUGCAAGUACUUAACCAGUUGCACCCUAAACUACCAGAAAAUACAAACUGAAGUGGAUCUUGAGUCCCACACAUGACUCAAAGGGACUCUACACCAAGAUGAUAUAAACAUCAGAACUCCACUGCUCUCCAUUUGUAACAAUCAUGCUACAAACCUCCCUAGAAUAUCAGCUUCAUGAGAGAAGGGACCUCUGUCUGAUGUUGAUCACUGUGAGUUGAUGCCUAACUCUUAUAUAUGGUCCUCAUCGUCAUCCAAUUAAUUUUCCCCUCUUAUAACCUCUUAGUUAGUAACAUAUAAAUUACUAUUAAAUGCCAUGAGGUAAAAUGACUGACUGCUGAGAAUCUGAAUUGAGAAGACUCAUCUUUCAACUCUGGCUCUACGGCUUACCAGUGGAAUGACCCUGACAAGCUAGAACAUGGGCAAGGUGCUAGUGAAGCAGCUCCAGCCAUUCAAGGGAAGACUUCAUCUGGUGGACAAGGAAAGGAAAGGAAAUCAGAUUCUUGGAUGACAUCAUUGAACAGGGCUAACCACCACCUUGGAUUAUCAUCCAUCCACCUCUGGAUUAUCACAUGUCAAGAGAAACAGCUCCUAUUUUGUGUAAGACACUUGAUCCACCUUCUGUUUACUUACACUAUUUCAUAAAUAACUAGAAGGGGAAAAGGGAAUAUAAAGCAAAAAUAGAGGAACCUUGAAGCUUCACAUUGAUAAAUCUAAUCAUUACUCUAAGAAAACAUUGAAAAUCUCUUUCCUGAAGAGUAAUCAAAAUAAUGAAAAUAACUUUAAUUGCAAACACACUAUGUUCCAGGCACUAAGCUUUUUGCAUACAUUGUCCCACUAAGCUCUACUGUAUCUCUAUGAGGAUGGUCUUAAUACAUCCUCAUUUUCAGGUAAGAAAGGUGAGUCAGUGAUAUUAACUAAAUUGCCCAAGGUCACAUGAGUAGAAAGUGAGAGUUGAGAUUUUUAACCAAGGUUGGCUUAAUUCUACAACCCCAGAUUUUCCUUACUCUAAAUCCUGCCUCCCAUGGAAAAAGAGUAAACAAUUUAAUAAUUUUGAAGGCAACUCAGGUACUAAGACUCUCUAGCACAUGUACUUUUGUAUUACAUUAUUGCCAAGCAGUUGUGAUUUUUUUUCCUACUGGGAAGCAUACUUUACAUAAUUACCUUUUCUUUUACCUAAAUGUUAUGAGUGUCUGGACAUUGUUUUAAUUGGAAAUGUAAAUUUGAGCUGUGCACACACAGACACAAACACAUCAAACUUUUCAAGUUAACAAUGAGGUCAGCUAGCUCAAAGUGAGGGAACAGCUGUAUAGGAUUUGGAACUUAAGUUGAUAAUUGGCUUCUUGUUCAAAAGGAGCCAAUAUUGAGCAAAUUAUAAUUUGAAAUUAUU